rnacentral:rRNA from 1 species
UGUGUAGGCGGUUGUAUAAGUGAGAUGUGAAAUCCCUCAGCUCAACUGAGGAACUGCGUUUCAGACUGUACGACUGGAGGAAGACAGGGGUAAGCGGAACAUGCGGUGGAGCGGUGAAAUGCUUUGAUAUUGCACGGAACACCAGAGGCGAAGGCGGCUUACUGGGUCUUUACUGACGCUGAAACACGAAAGCCAGGGUAGCGAACG